rnacentral:rRNA from 1 species
UACAGAGGGUGCGAGCGUUAAUCGGAAUUACUGGGCGUAAAGGGCGCGUAGGCGGCCUGCUAAGUCGAACGUGAAAUCCCCGGGCUCAACCCGGGAACUGCGUCCGAUACUGGUUGGCUUGAAUCCGGGAGAGGGAUGCGGAAUUCCAGGUGUAGCGGUGAAAUGCGUAGAUAUCAGGAGGAACACCGGUGGCGAAGGCGCUCAUCUGGCCCAAUACUGACGCUGAGGCGCGAAAGCUAGGGGAGCAAACGGG